rnacentral:rRNA from 1 species
AUACGUAGGGGGCGAGCGUUGUCCGGAAUGACUGGGCGUAAAGGGCGUGUAGGCGGCCUGAUAAGUUUGGCGUGAAAGUCCUGUUUUCAAGAUGGGAAUUGCUUUGGAUACUGUCGGGCUUGAGUGCAGAAGAGGUAAGCGGAAUUCCCAGUGUAGCGGUGAAAUGCGUAGAGAUUGGGAGGAACACCAGUGGCGAAGGCGGUUUACUGGGCUGUAACUGACGCUGAGUCGCGAAAGCGUGGGGAGCGAACAGGAUUAUAUACCCUGGUAGUCCACACUGUAAACGAAGAAUACUAGUUGUGGGGUGACUGACCCCCUCCGUGCCGCAGUUAACACAAUAAGGAUUCCCCCUGGGGAGUACGAUCGCAAGAUUGAAACUCAAAGGAAUUGACGGGG